AACGCAUAUUGCGCCCUUUGGUAUUCCGAGGGGCAUGCCUGUUCGAGCGUUAUUUUCAUUCUCAAGUAUUGCUUGGUGUUGGAGAUUGCCCCGGCGGGGCACCUCCGAAACAUAGCGGCGACGUAGCCGGAUUCCCUGGCGUAGUGACUAUUUUCCACCGCCCCGGAGUUGUCGGUCGUGCGUUAGCCGGACAACAUCCCCUUUCUUAAAUCGACCUCGGAUCAGGCAGGACUACCCGCUGAACUUAA
rnacentral:misc_RNA from 1 species